rnacentral:tRNA from 1 species
UAAAAGAUAAGCUAAUCAAGCUAUCGGGCUCAUACCCCGUCAAUGAAAGUUCUGAUCUUUCUCUUUUUA